CCCAGGUCUUAAAUGGGUCACAAAGACAGAUAAAUUAGAUAACUGCAGAAAGUAAAUAAUGAAUAUAUAUUUUUAUUAUUUCUUUAAUUAUUCUGAAACAGUAUAAAUUAAUUAAUAGAAAAAAAGAAAACUCCCAAACAGUGUUUAAAAUGAAAAGGAAAUCGUUUUUAUUUAUUUUAGAUAAUAAAUGAAAUAGAACUUUUAGGCGCUAAACAGCAGCCAAUCAGUUCUUCAGAUGAUCCAAGGUGCUAAACAGCAGCCAAUCAUAAUAAUCCUCUAAGAGACAGAGGCGGAGCCUGUUGGUUAGUGGACGUCAAUCCCUGGCUGUUUUACCCAGAAAGUUCUGCGGGAGGAGAAGAGACAGGUCAUGCAAGAAGUUCUCUGCUUAAAGUAUUAAAAAAAAAAUACUAGAAAACGCUAGAAUUCAGCGUUGUGGUUAGUGAGUAAAUCACUACCAAGCUGACCGCUGUUAGAGUUGAGGCUGCAGAGUGGAGAAAGGGGGAAAGUCUCACUUAUUGUGCCUCGUGAAACUUUGCCAGUUACACGCUCCGGUAAUCUCCAGGUGGAGGUAGAACCUGGUGUCCAUGUGCCCUGGGGUGGUGUGUGAAAACCUUGGAUAGGAUUCGGCCAGUUUUUUUGUUGGGUGGAAUGGAUUGGAUGAUCUUCCCGAACACUCCUCGUGUCGUUCAGCUGCACACGGCCGGUGCAGUGCGCGGUGCUAGGAUGGCGAGCCAAGCCCGAGGACCCAAGUGACUUCAUUACACUUCAUUCACAUUUUUCAAACACUUGAUAGUGAACAUUAAAGAAAAUUCGUGGAUUGUU